UAUUUUGAGCUGAAUCACACAACACUCAACCUCUAGAGACAUCAGAGGCUUAUUUUGCAUCUUGUUAAAAGGGGCAGAAUAGGUCCCCUUUAAUAUACUAAUGACUUUUAGCAAAUCUUUAGACCCAUACAAUGUUUGUUGGCGUUCGCCAACAUUUACCUGUGCAACAUUAGACUGGUUUUGUGACCCUGGGUCACAUAUACAAAAUCUACAAGUAUUUGUGCAACCCAAAACAAAUGUCUGGUUAGCAUGACUCUUAUAUUGUCUGUUUUGACUGUUUGGAAUCAGUUUUUUGGGCCAGUUCUGAGCAGUAAAACAAUAUCUUUUAACAAAACUUGUUCGGUAAAUGUCAGGUGGCUACAAAUAAAUAUGACUUGAUAUUUUCCUACAGACAAGAAACAUCAGAUCGUGAGACUGAAGGUGAAGCCUACUCAGAAUCUAAACGAGCCUGCAGUGAUGGAAGCCGUCUUACAGUGGGUGCAGCUGAAGCUGAAGGGGUUUGGAGUAGAAAAGGACUCCAGUGUGUCCUGGAACCUUCAAGCAGACGGAGAAGGCUUCCACAAGGACAAACCAUGAGUGUCACAUCAGAGGAUGUAACAUCAUUUUGAUUCAAAUUUUAUUAAUUUAAAUAAUAUACUAGUGUAAUAGCACAAAGGGAAAACGUGCAGGUUGUGAAACGGUAAAUAAAUAGUUUUGAAU